rnacentral:rRNA from 1 species
UACGUAGGGGGCAAGCGUUGUCCGGAAUUAUUGGGCGUAAAGCGCGUGUAGGCGGCUCGGUAAGUCUGCUGUGAAAGUCCAGGGCUCAACCCUGGAAUGCCGGUGGAUACUGUCGAGCUCGAGUCCGGAAGAGGCGAGUGGAAUUCCCGGUGUAGCGGUGAAAUGCGCAGAUAUCGGGAAGGAACACCAAUGGCGAAGGCAGCUCGCUGGGACGUGACUGACGCUGAGACGCGAAAGCGUGGGGAGCGAACAGG